GAGGAACUGUACUUCUGGUUUCCUAAGGAUAAGUCCCCUCUCCCUUCUUUUGAUGAGUCCUUUUCUCUGCACAGAGCCUCUGUUGAAGUUAGUGGGAGUUGUUCUUGUAGAACACAUGGGAUUCCAAUACCUGGCAGAGUUCCAGAGUCUUGUUGCCAUGGUAACUCACUUUUUUUUUUUUCCCUCUCUGAAAUUUUGCCAGAUCCUAAAGAUCUUUGUGGACAAUCUCUUUGCCAUCGUCUUGCUAAAGCAGGCCACGGCUGUGCGCUGUUUGGACAUGAGUGCCUCCCGUAAGAAGCUGGCCGUGGUGGAUGAAAAUGACAUGUGCCUGGUGUAUGACAUCCAUACCAAAGAGUUGCUUUUUCAGGUGAAAUCCCAGAGUUUCCAUGACAUGGUCCUUUGACUUCUUUUUUAGCUUCCUAGUUCCUGCAGGAGGUGCUCCGCUCUGGCUCCCAGGCAGAUCUCUGGGAGGAGUGGUGACAUGGAGGGGUAUAGGCUUUGAGCAGGGGUGCAGAGCCCAAGUGGCCCCAGGGCACAGCCCACCCCCUCCCACACAUGAGCUGUAGGAGCUGGAAAAAGUCUCUUUGAACUUUGGUUUCCUCACAGAUAAGAUGAGCAAGUAACACUUUUCUUUCUGUGAACAGUAAAGGAAUAAUAAUAAAUAUCAGUGGGGCAUGUGAUAGGGUCUCAGUGUAUUAUUCAAUGAGAUGAUGAUUCUUUUGCAAAAGGGCUUCUCACCUAUUGGAGAUAUGCCUGUAUCUAUGAGUGACCUAAGACGUAGUAAAGAAAUAGGACAAGUUUUGUCAUCUGAAAGAAGGGAAGACAUGGGGGAAGCCCUCCCUUCUAUUUAUUUCACAAAGAUGCUAUAAGAGCCAGCAAAAUGUGAACUGUUUGGGGGCAUAGGCAGUUUACACACCAUUUGGUCCUGUGGCUGGUGGAAGUGUGUCACUGGAGAAGAGAGCCCAAAGGCUUCAUGCCCACCACCUGGCUGGCUUUCUGCCAGACUAAGUGCCACUCUUUGCCUGUAUAGGGCUUUAUAAGAGGUCAGGGCCCAUUUGCCUGAAGCAAGCUUCCCCUAAAGCUGACUGGCUUCUUCAGCCACAAGUCUCCCAGUGUUAAUUGGCAGAUUGAGGUCCCCUUCUCGGGGCUCUUCUUUGUCCCUGGGAGCAGAAUCAGCAGGACAGAGGGAUGUUAGAGUGUAGGGAGCUGCCUCAGUCAGUUAGAAGGGGCCACCUGGCUACUGCUAGCCCAAGGUGGUUCCAGUAGAUAACAACUCACUUAUAUCGCUGUGGAGGCAGAGUGGUUAAGGGGAAAGAAAGAGCAUAGGCUUUGUCUUCAGACAGACUUGGGCUCCAGUCCUACCCUCACCACUUACAGUGUGAUCUCAAGCAAGUUAGCACAGUUCAUUGAACCUGAAUUUUUUAUUCUCUCUGAAAUUGAACUUGUAAUUGCUUCCUCACAGAAUUGCUACAGUACUAAACAAGAGACUACAGUAAGUAGCUCAGUGCCUUACAAAACAUGGCCCUAAAUGUUACUUUUCCUCUCCUCAGCCUCAACACUACCUCCUGUAGGUAGGUUAGCAGGCCUCCAGUUAUGAAUCUGUGUCUGAGCCUAGAACCAUAUAGGAAUGGAAGGGUGUGUGUCCUUCCCCAUCUCCACUGAAGGUUCUGUAGUAGCUAGGGAGGGUAAUUCUCAGACCUUGUCAGAAGAUAUAAGCAUUCCCAACUAUCUUUUUUUUUCUCUCCACUGCCCCUGCCCCCUGAAAAUUAAAACAGCUCUAUUGUUUUUGCUUAGUAUAAAAGUAAUCCAUGCUCAUUAUAAAAGAUUCAGACAUUGUAAGAGAUUCUAGGCAGAAAGUUAUGAACAUCUGCUCCCUGGGGCUCCAUUGCUAAGCAGAAAACUUGUAGGAGAGGGAGUGCCCCCCAGGGUGACUGUAUUUCUACAGCAUGAGAAUUGUAAAUGCAGAGAUGAUAUAUUAUUUUAUAAUGUAAAAAUAACAGUUUUUUUCCUUAUUAUAAAAAAUAAUAGAUGUUUAUGAUCAAAAGAGAAUUUCAAGCAAACGAAAAACAUAAAAAAUGAAAAAGCACCCACAAUUCCACCCACCCCAAAACAAUCACUGUUAAUUCUUUGAAACAUAUCCUUUUAUUUAUUUUUGUUUGCUUGUUUUAUUUUUGUUUUUACUUAGAGUUAGAGAGCACACACACACUGGAAAGGGGCAGGGAGAGGGAGAGAGAGAAUCUUAAGCAGGUGCCACACUCAGUGUAGAGCCCAAUGCAAGGCUCUAUCUCAUGACCACAGGAUCAUGACUGUGAGAUCAUGACCUGAGCUGAAGUCAAGAGUCAGGCACUCAACCAAUUGAGUCACCCAGGCACCCUUGCUUGUUUGUUUUAUUUUAGAGAGAGAGAAAGCGGGUGCACAUAUGGGUUGGGGAGAGGGAGAGAGGGAGAGAGGGAGAGAGGGAGAGGGAGAGGGAGAGAGAGAGAGAGAGAGAGAGAGAGAACCCCAAGCAGGCUCCAUGCUUAGCACGGAGCCUGACGCAGGGCUCAAUCCCAUGACCGUGGAAUCAUGACAUGAGCUGAAAUCAAGAGUCCGAUGCUUAACUGACUGAGCCACCCAGGAGCCCUGGAACGUAUCCCUUUAAAUCUUCUGUGUAUAGCUGUGUGUACUCAUUCUGUAACAGAAGUAAAGCCACUUUGCUCAUUCUCUCAGUAGGUAAUGAUUAAUAUUUGGGAUAAUAAUACUUUUUUUCAAAAGUAAUGCUUGUUUAUUAAAAAAAAUCCAACAUAAACAAGUGCAUAGAGGCAUAGAGGAUUUUGCUUCUAUGCUUCUAUCCUUUUCUUCUGCUUCCCUUUUCCUCCCUUUUCCCCCAUCCCACUCUUAGCAAUUUAGUUUGAUUCAGGCUUUAAAAAGUGCCUAGCUGAAUGCAGGAAUGGUGGCAAAGGUCAGGGUGGUUGUCAAAGGAUCCUUACUAUUCCUGUUCCUCAGGAGCCAAAUGCCAACAGUGUGGCCUGGAACACCCAGUGUGAGGACAUGCUCUGCUUCUCGGGAGGAGGCUACCUUAACAUCAAAGCCAGCACCUUCCCUGUGCACCAGCAGAAGCUACAGGGCUUUGUGGUUGGUUACCAUGGCUCCAAGAUCUUCUGCCUCCAUGUCUUCUCCAUGUCGGCCGUGGAGGUGCCGCAGGUAACCAGGGUGCUUGUCAGCUCUCAGCUGUGGCAGGGCAGACAAGACCCAGGAAGCCAGGCUAUGCAUUUGUGUAUCGGGUGGGGGAUGGAUGGUGAGGAGAGAGGGAAGAGAGAGGAGUUGCAGUUAUGAUGUCAUGGAAGGUACUCUGGACGAGAACCUGAAACUCUGUCUCUACCUUAUACAACCUGUGUGUCUUUGGACAAGCAGCUCCACCCUAUUGAGCCUCCAAUUCUUUCUGGUCUCCCUUUCCUGGUUGGGACAGGGAGGGGUAUUCAGGGUUGUCUGUCUGCAGACAGAGUCUGUUUCACUGAGGGCCGUGCAUGGGGCAGAGUGGAGCAAGCCAGCAAAGCUGGGAGUCUAGCUGGGUAUAUGCGCAGAUGUGUGAGCAUGGUAGUGUGUGUGAGGGAAAGAGAAUGUGGGUCGGAUGGAGGGGCGGGGCGCUGAGGUGUGUGAGCCAAGAAGAGAGCAUGGGACUAUGCACAAGUUUCUCAAACUAGGAGGAGGCCAGAACAGAAAUGGGGACCUGGAGCCACAAACAGGAGGACAGAAACACAGGAGGGCAGAGAUUGACAACCCAAGUCUGGUCUGGCCUAAUCCCAGCUGUCCAGGCUGCCUGUCUGCUCUGUGAGUGAAUCAUGCCCAUUGUAGAAAUGCCGUAAAAUAAAGGCAAGCAUGAAGGAAAGACUUAGCUCUCAGAAUCCCAUCCUCAAGAGAAUCACUCUUAAACGUCUUAGAACAUAUCCACCCAGGCUUUUUCUAUAUGUAUAUGUAAUAUAUGCAGAGCAUACAAUUAUGAGUAUAUAAUUUUAAAAUUUUUUUUUUUUUUUUUCAACGUUUAUUUAUUUUUGGGACAGAGAGAGACAGAGCAUGAACGGGGGAGGGGCAGAGAGAGAGGGAGACACAGAAUCGGAAACAGGCUCCAGGCUCUGAGCCAUGAGCCCAGAGCCUGACGCGGGGCUCGAACUCACGGACCGCGAGAUCGUGACCUGGCUGAAGUCGGACGUUUAACCGACUGCGCCACCCAGGCGCCCCAUGAGUAUAUAAUUUUAUAUGAACAUUGUAAACAAUAGUGGAAUCUACUGUAAAUAUUAUAAAUCUAAUUUAUUAAACCUCAGAUUUGCUGUUCUUCCUUUACUGAAUGUGGACUAUAAAAGAGAGAGAUUUUUAGUCAUCUUCCUUUAUCACUAUCUUCCAAUUUAACCUAACAUUUACAUAUUGCCGGCCCAUCACUAUAUGAAUUAUUGCCUGUCAGCUAGCAGUGUGGCUUUUUCUCUCAGCAGUCUACUGGAAACAUGGCUCCACAUCAAUAAAUAUACUUUCCUAGUAUUUUUAAAAUACUAAGAUGACUGUAGAUUUACUUAUGGUUAUAAGAAACCAUACAGAGAUCCCUUGUACAACUUGCCCAGUUUCCCCACUGGUAGCAGUCUGCAAAACUAUAGUAUACAUGUAUUACCUGGAUAUGUUCAUGUGUCUCCCACCACCAACCCAUGAGAUCUCUAAUGUUGGACUGCCUUUUCUUUCUUUUUUUUUUUUUUUUAAUGUUUAUUUAUUUUUGAAGGAGAGAGAGACAGAACACGAGUGGGGGAGGGGCAGAGAGAGAGGGAGACACAGAAUCUGAAGCAGGCUAUAGGUUGCAAGCUGUCAGCACAGAGUCUGGUGCAGGGCUCCAAGUCACAAACUGUGAGAUCAUGACCUGAGCCGAACUCGGAUGCUUAACUGACUGAGCCACCCAGGUGCCCCAUGGGCUGCCCUUUUGUUAUAACCAUUCCUGCCUCCCUGCUGUCCCCACCCCCACAUUGUUUUUAAUGACUGCUUUUUGUCCUAUCACAUGGAUGUUCCUUCCACAUCUUACACAACCACUACCUUUUGUUGGACAUUUACACUGCUUACAGCUUCUUUCUUGCUAAGUCUUUGUACCUGUCCCAGCUUAGCUCUUCAGUAUGAAUUCCUUGAAGUCAAAUUGCUAGGUAAAACGCCACAUACAUUUGAAAGAUUUUUAGACACAUUUCUAGAUUGCCCUUCAGAGAGACUGCAUCAGUCUGUGUUUGCCCUCCACACACACGUGCCCUACUCACUGUCCCCGGCUCAACUUCUUUUUUUUUUUUUGGGUGAGGGUGGAGGGCAUGAUACCAUUUUAUUGAGGGGCUUCAGAGGAUGGUCAAAGGGCUGGCAGGACAGUGAGAUCCUAUGUCCUCAGCCUGGCCAAGAUCUCCCCACCUUUAUAGUCACCAAAAGCCUGGCCUGGCUUCUUACAAAGGGUGGGGCUGGAGUCCACUUCUUCCUCUAAGUUGUUGAUACCCUUGCUACUCAUUAUGCAGAAAUUAUUAGUGCCUGACACAGAGCAGUUAUUUGGUAAACGUUAAUGAAAUUCAGAUUUGAGGAAAAGGAAAGAGAAUGAAAGGAAGGAGAGAGGUGGGUGGAAGUGGCGUCAGGAGGAGGGGCAAGAAUAGCCUCUACUGGACUGUUUCCUAAUAGUCCUCAUCUGCCCCCCAUCCCAGAUCCAUGCACCGCAUCCACCAGAAACCUAGUCUUUCUCAAUCAUGCCAAACACACUAUGUUGACUGAAAGUUUUUCUCCCAAGACUGCCAUCCCAACCUCAAAGAUAAAUGCAGUUUGCUGCUCCCUGACUUUGGCUGACCAAGAAGAGCCAAAAGGGGGGCCUGGGGCUUCCUCUGCCAAGCCCUUAAGAUUCAGAAGUCAGAGUCAUCCCUCCCUCCCCCCCCCCCCAGCCCCCCAUGGCUUCACCAAGGCCAUCCUGCUGAUGCAGCAGGUCAGAACUGCCAAGGGUUAGGAAAGGCAGCCUCAAGACAAAGGCUAUUUAUCUGUUGCCUCUGCCUCCAGCCAUCCUGUGGUUUUGGCCUAGAAAGGAGGGAGAAAGCAUCAGACCACUCUGGGGAUUUCUGGUUUCCUUUCGAAAUUUACAUCAUCUUGUGCAAGAACUGGUUUGUCAGUGCUGCCAAGUAGGGCGACAAGCCCUUGUCAGGCUUCUUGGGGUGAGUGGUGACUUCAUGCUUGGAAUGCAAUAGUGAGAUAAAGUAGAACUCAGAGGGCAUUUGUUCAGUUAGGAUAUUUUUAAAAUUCCCACUCUCAGAUUGUACUUCCCAAGCAAGCCCGAAUGUUAAUCAUUCAUCGUCUCCUCGAUUCUCAUGUGCCUGUUGCUUCCUCAUGGGGUAUUCAACAUGGUGAGAAGCUGUGCAGUUUAGGCGAAAGAACACUGGCUUUGAGUUCUGACUUUGCUGCCCGAACCAGCUGGGAUCUUGAGCAACUCCUUUCACUCUUUGGAGCCUCACUUUCUAUGCAGUGGGGUUAAUAUACCUGUUUUAUGGGUUUUGUCUGGCCUAGUUCCUAUUGUUAUUGUUAUUAGCGAUCUUAAAGUACAAAUGCUAUGAAACAGAACUAAAUUGGAACAGGGUGCUCACUAAGGAGUUUAGAAAGGAAAGCUCAUUGUGCACAGGGAGUGUAGAAAGCUUCCAAGAGGUGGUGACACUUGAUCUGAGCCCUGAAAGGUCUGGGGACAUAGAGAGGAGCAGCAAGGGUGUUUCAGAGAGAAAGGUAGAGGUAGGAACAAGUCUGGAGAGUUGGGGAGGUGGCAAGGAGCUGGUGCUGAGAAAAUACAGUGGAUGUACUGAUCAUGUCCUGUUUGCCCAUAGUAGUCUGUGAGCUGGACAGGGCAUCUAAACAGAAGUUAAUCAGUUUACCCAAAAAAGCACCCAGCUAGGAUGUGACUGAGUCAGGCCUGGCUUCUGGCUCAGCUGCUCCCCUGUCCGUACCCCUUUACCCCUCUAAAGGAAGGAAAGGUAGACAGAAUGGUAUGAUAGAAAAGAUGAGCACUCCUAAACAGCCACAUCUUGCUGUCAGAGGGCAGAAUGGCUUAAAAAGAAAAAAAAAAAAAAAAAAGCUUUAACUCUGAAGCUAAAAAAUGAGACAGGAAAGUUCAAAGAUAAAGGCCCCAAAUGGAGAAAACAGCACUUCCAGCUCCACAUUUGAGAACCAUUAGCAUGAGGUACUGGCUGAUUGAUCUCUACUGCCCUAGAGAGAUUCAGUUCCCUUCAGCACACUGGCUUAAAACAAGGGCAGGGCCUUCUUAUUCAGGACGCCAAAUCCAGCUCAGACUUGUUCUUGUGUGCACACAUAUUCAUGUACCCCACAUCCAAGAGCCAGGAAAGUGCUCUUCCUUGUGUUUUCCUUGUGCCACUUAUGUGUCCUCAGACUGUAAUCAGAGAGUGAUAAUAACCUGCAACACAGACCUGUUGGGACAGAUGCAAAAGCAAUGUGUAAACCUAAGAAGAGAAAUUAUUAGGAACCAUUCACAGGUAUCACAGUGAGGCAGCCCCGUCUGGGAGGAGGGAUGGCAGGAAGGUUCCCAACCUUCCCAGGUAACCUGGAACAAAUCACUUACCUUUCUUGGGUAAGCUGGUUUCUUGGCCCUCUUUGUAAGAGACCACCUCAGACCCCUUCCUCACAGUAACGUUCCUUCCUCCACCAAACAGAGACUGAAGGCCUGCUGGGGGAGGUGAGUAGAAGCCCACCAGUGCCUUCAGGGGUUGUCCCCAGACUUGUGGAGGAGAGGGGCUUGUCAUUAUAACACAACUGACUUCUGGAUAAAGGGCAGAGAAAGCUCAGACUCCUUUCCUUGAGGGGUCAGCAAAGACUUUCCAGAAGAGGUGACAUUUUAACAGGACCCUCAAAGCCAAAUAGGUACUUUCCAGUGGGUAAAGAGGAACAAGGGCAUUCUAGAUGAGGGUGAUACCUUGUGGUAAAACAGACCUGGAGGUGGGGAAAGCUAGUGGUGGAGGGAAGGAUAAGCAAGAAGUUUGUGCUGCUGAACACAAUUAUUUGGCUAUGAAAAGGAGUGACAAAUGGAAGGCAUUUGGGGUGAGAAGGGUACUGAUUACUCCUUAUAGUAUUCCUCUAUAGGCAUUUGUAAUUAAGUCAGUGCACACAUCUGGAGUCAGGCUUUGUAUGAAUCUGAUUCUUUCCAUUGCUCUCAGUCUUCUUUCUUUUUGAUGAAAUCCUGCAGUCUGCUCCAAUGUACCAGUACCUGGAUAGGAAAAUGUUCAAAGAAGCCUACCAGAUUGCUUGCUUGGGUGUGACAGACACUGAUUGGCGUGAGCUGGCCAUGGAAGCUUUAGAAGGAUUAGAGUUUGAAACAGCAAAGAAGGUAAGCAUCUAGUCAGCAUGAGCUAGAAUCUGACCCUUGGAGGGUCCCUUGAGGCAAAAGUGAGUCCAGGUAACAUAUGGAGAGGCAGAUGCAUACAGUAGAGAGCUCUGGAGAUAGGCUGACCUGUGUUCAGAUCUCAGCUCAGCUAUCUCCUAACUGGGUCUGGGCAAGUAACUUGUUUCUAAGGUUGUUUAUUUCUUUUUUUUUUUUUAAUUUUUUUUUCAACGUUUUUUAUUUUAUUUUUGGGACAGAGAGAGACAGAGCAUGAACGGGGGAGGGGCAGAGAGAGAGAGGGAGACACAGAAUCGGAAACAGGCUCCAGCCUCCGAGCCAUCAGCCCAGAGCCCGACGCGGGGCUCGAACCCACGGACCGCGAGAUCGUGACCUGGCUGAAGUCGGACGCUUAACCGACUGCACCACCCAGGCGCCCCUAAGGUUGUUUAUUUCUAAAAAUAGGGUGGUGAUUGGCUUCAUCCUCACAAAGUUCAAAGGGUCUAAUGUGAUAAUGUCUGUAAGGCCAGAUAUAGGAGAAAUAUCGGAUAGAUUCUAGCUGUCACUCUUAUUAGCUAUCAUUUAUGUAAAGCACCUAGCUGAAAGCCUAGCACAAUAAUAGGGACAUACUAAAGGGUAGCUUUAAAAAAAUUUUUUUUUUAAUUUUAGAGAGAGCACAGAUGAGUGGGGGAGGGGCAGAGGGGGAGAGAGAGAGAGAGAGAGAGGGAGAGGGAGAGAGAGAAUGAG
rnacentral:lncRNA from 1 species